rnacentral:rRNA from 1 species
AGGGGGUAUUGCACCUACCGAAGACUAUCAAACUCCGAAUGCCGUCAUCUUAUACUUGGGAGUCAGACUGUGGGUGAUAAGAUUCAUAGUCGAAAGGGCAACAGCCCAGAUCGUCAGCUAAGGUCCCUAAAUGUAAGUUAAGUGGUAAAGGAUGUGGGAUUGCACAGACAACCAGGAUGUUGGCUUAGAAGCAGCCACUCAUUCAAAGAGUGCGUAAUAGCUCACUGGUCGAGUGAUCCUGCGCCGAAGAUUUCCGGGGCUAAAACUUACUACCGAAGCUACGGCAUCAGUAAUGAUGGGUAGGGGAGCUUCCCAUACGGGUUGAAGCAUGACCGUAAGGACAUGUGGACAGUAUGGGAGUGAGAAUGUUGGCAUGAGUAGCGAGAUGUGGGUGAGAAUCCCACAGGCCGUAAACCCAAGGUUUCCAGGGGAAGGUUCGUCCGCCCUGGGUUAGUCGGGACCUAAGCUGAGGCCGAAAGGCGUAGGUGAUGGACAACAGGUUGAUAUUCCUGUACUACCGAUAACCGUUUGAGAGAAGGGAUGACACAGUAGGAUAAGCUAAGCACACUGUUGGUUAUGUGUGCCCAAGCAUUGAGGCAGUCAAAGUAGGCAAAUCCGCUUUGAUAAUGCUAGGAUGUGAUGGGGAGCGAAAUUUAGUAGCGAAGUAGCUGAUUUCACACUGUCAAGAAAAGUCUCUAUCGAGGUUAAAGGUACCCGUACCGCAAACCGACACAGGUGGGUGAGGAGAGUAUCCUAAGGCCAGCGAGAGAACUGUUGUUAAGGAACUCGGCAAAAUGACCCCGUAACUUAGGGAUAAGGGGUGCCACCAUCAGGUGGCCGCAGAGAAUAGGCCCAAGCGACUGUUUACCAAAAACAUAGGUUUCUGCUAAGUCGCAAGACGAUGUAUAGGAGCUGACGCCUGCCCGGUGCUGGAAGGUUAAGGGGAUCUGUUAGAGCAAUCGAAGCAGUGAACUUAAGCCCCAGUAAACGGCGGCCGUAACUAUAACGGUCCUAAGGUAGCGAAAUUCCUUGUCGGGUAAGUUCCGACCCGCACGAAAGGCGUAACGAUUUGGGCACUGUCUCAACAACAGACUCGGUGAAAUUGUAAUUCCGGUGAAGAUGCCGGAUACCUGCGACAGGACGGAAAGACCCCAUGGAGCUUUACUGUAGCUUGACAUUGGGUCUUGGUACUACAUGUACAGGAUAGGUGGGAGGCUUUGAAACCAGGACGCCAGUUUUGGCGGAGCCAUCCUUGGGAUACCACCCUUGUAGUACUGGGACUCUAACCAUAGGCCAUGAAUCUGGUCUUGGGACACUGUCAGGUGGGCAGUUUGACUGGGGCGGUCGCCUCCCAAAAGGUAACGGAGGCGCUCAAAGGUUCUCUCAGUACGGUCGGAAAUCGUACGUAGAGUGUAAAGGCAAAAGAGAGCUUGAUUGCAAGACAUACAGGUCGAGCAAGGAUGAA